UAUCCACCUUGUGUGCAAUGUCAGUCGAUCUUCUUUAUGGAGAUCGGCCAAACAUCAACCUAAUUUUUUAACUCUUUGUCUGAAAAAUAUUAUGAAUAAAAUAAUUCAAAAUACAACUUUCAACAACGGAUCUCUUGGCUCUCGCAUCGAUGAAGAACGCAGCGAAAUGCGAUACGUAAUGUGAAUUGCAGAAUUCAGUGAAUCAUCGAAUCUUUGAACGCAUAUUGCGCUCUUUGGUAUUCCGAAGAGCAUGCUUGUUUGAGUAUCAGUAAACACCUCAAAACUCUUUUUUAUUUUUAAAAAACAGUUUUGGACUUGAGCAAUCCCAACACCAAUCUUUUUUAGAUCGGUGGCGGGUUGCUUGAAAUGCAGGUGCAGCUGGACAUUCUCCUGAGCUAAAAGCAUAUUUAUUUAGUCCCGUCAAACGGAUUAUUACUUUUGCUGCAGCUAAUAUAAAGGGAGUUUGACCGUUUUGGCUGACUGAUGCAGGAUUUCACAAGGGUCGGCAACGAUUCUUGUAAAACUCGAUCUCAAAUCAAGUAAGACUACCCGCUG
rnacentral:rRNA from 1 species